GAUGAACGCUGGCGGCGUGCCUAAUACAUGCAAGUCGAGCGCACGGACGAGAAGCUUGCUUCUCUGAUGUUAUCGGCGGACGGGUGAGUAACUCGUGGAUAACCUACCUAUUAGUCUGGGUUAACUUCGGGAAACCGGAGCUAAUACCGGAUGAUAUUUUGAACCGCAUGGUUCAAAAGUGAAAUACGGUCUUGCUGUCACUUCUAGAUGCAUCCGCUCUGCAUUAGCUAGUUGUUAAGGUAACGGCUUACCAAGGCAACGAUGCAUAGCCGACCUGCGAGGGUGAGCGGCCAAAAGGGAACAGAGACACGGAGCAGACACCUACGGGAGGCAGCAGUAGGGAAUCUUCCGAAAUGGGGGAAAGACUGACGGAACAACGCCGAGGGAGGGAAGAAGGGGUGAGGAUCGUAAAACUCUGUUAUUAGGGAAGAAGAGAGGUGUAAGUAACAGUGCACAGGGUGACGGUACCUAAUAAGAAAGCGACGGCUAAAUACGUG
rnacentral:rRNA from 1 species